UGGCAAAACGCGCAGCACUUCCCCCAUCACCCUCGACCUUGAGCUACUCCUUCCUCAUCUUCAUCGAGCUCCUCCCUCACUCCCUGACUUCCGUCCAGCCACCGGCCUGCUACUACUGCCGUCGCAACUUCGAGCUUCGAAGUCACCGUCGAAACUUCCUUUCCCUCCAUCGUGCAUCCACCGUUUGAGCUUCGAAACCACCGUCACCGGUCUCGCCUCCUGCCUCCUGCCUCUGUCCCGCAGCUACUGUCCCGCCGGUGCCAACUCUGUUCCACCGGUCAGCCCUUCGGAUUAUAUACUCUUUCUGAGCCGGAGGUGAACUUCUUAGCCAAAGUGGUGGCUUUGAAACCCGGAGAUACUAUGCUUGGCAUGAUAAGAAAUGUAAUGCAAGGAAAAGAUGAAGGUGUUGACAAUGCUGGUAAUGAUGAUGAAGGAAAUGCUGAAAAGGGUGAGUGCGACAGGAAGGAAGUCGCAUCUAGUACGUCCUGGCAUGUUUCUUGAGACCGUCUCCAAUGAAUUUGAAGUGUCGCGGGUUUCACCCAUGUGAUCAUCUUAUUAAAUUAGAGCUUGUGAGUUUAUGCUAAUUUUGUAAAAGAGCUUAUUUGGUUUAUGUUUCUUUUGUUGAAAACUUUAUGUUCCUGAAGAAUUUCUUUGUAAAGAUUUUACCAUAGUAUAUGUUACAACUUAUAAAUGGAAAUCAAAUGAGCUCUAACUCUCUUGCAUGCUUAUGUCUUUCUGUUUGUUUGAUUAAAGUGCUUGACUUAUGUAUUCUUAGGACUGAAUGAACUUAUAUCAAGACAAAUUGGAAUGUUUGCUUGAUUUAAUGCAAGGUAUGUGCUUGGUUUUUAAUAAUGUGUUGAA